CAGGUGGGGAAGUAUUGCGCAAUGGACGAAGUCUGACGCAGCGACGCCGCGUGGAGGAUGAAGGUUUUCGGAUCGUAAACUCCUGUCAAGAGGGAAGAAACCUAUUAUGAAUAAUACUCAUAGUAAUUGACGGUACCUCUAGAGGAAGCACCGGCUAAUUCAGUGCCAGCAGCCGCGGUAAUACUGAAGGUGCAAGCGUUAAUCGGAAUCACUGGGCGUAAAGCGCUCGUAGGUGGCUUUGUAAGUCAGGUGUGAAAGCCCACGGCUCAACCGUGGAAUUGCACUUGAUACUGCAUCGCUAGAGUAUAGGAGAGGGAAGUGGAAUUUCUGGUGUAGGAGUGAAAUCCGUAGAGAUCAGAAGGAACACCCGUGGCGAAGGCGACUUCCUGGACUAUUACUGACACUGAGGAGCGAAAGCGUGGGGAGCAAACAGGAUUAGAUACCCUGGUAG
rnacentral:rRNA from 1 species